GAUGAACGCUGGCGGCGUGCCUAAUACAUGCAAGCCGAGCGAACGGAUUAAGAGCUUGCUCUUAUGAAGUUAGCGGCGGACGGGUGAGUAACACGUGGGUAACCUGCCCAUAAGACUGGGAUAACUCCGGGAAACCGGGGCUAAUACCGGAUAACAUUUUGAACCGCAUGGUUCGAAAUUGAAAGGCGGCUUCGGCUGUCACUUAUGGAUGGACCCGCGUCGCAUUAGCUAGUUGGUGAGGUAACGGCUCACCAAGGCAACGAUGCGUAGCCGAACUGAGAGGGUGAUCGGCGACACUGGGACCGAGACACGGCCCAGACUCCGACGGGAGGCAGCAGUAGGGAAUCUUCCGCAAUGGACGAAAGUCUGACGGAGCAACGCCGCGUGAGUGAUGAAGGCUUUCGGGUCGUAAAACUCUGUUGUUAGGGAAGAACAAGUGCUAGUUGAAUAAGCUGACACCUUGACGGUACCUAACCAGAAAGCCACGGCUAACUACGUGCCAGCAGCCGCCGUAA
rnacentral:rRNA from 1 species